UACGUAGGGGGCAAGCGUUAUCCGGAAUUACUGGGUGUAAAGGGAGCGUAGACGGUAAUGUAAGUCUGGAGUGAAAGGCGGGGCCCAACCCCGGAACUGCUCUGGAAACUGUGCGGCUAGAGUACUGGAGGGGCAGGCGGAAUUCCUAGUGUAGCGGUGAAAUGCGUAGAUAUUAGGAGGAACACCAGUGGCGAAGGCGGCCUGCUGGACAGUAACUGACGUUGAGGCUCGAAAGCGUGGGGAGCAAACAGG
rnacentral:rRNA from 1 species